UUCUGCCAUGUGAGGACAGAGCCUUCCUGCUAUUGGGAGGAUGCAGCAACAAGGUGUCAUCUUGGAAGCAGGGAUCAGCCCUCACCAGAAAACCAAAUCUGCCACCACCUUGAACUUAGACUUCCCAGCCUUGAGAACUAACACUACAUUGGGAAGGAUUCAUCAUCAUGACCAGAUGUCACAUGGGUCUAUGAUGCCAAAAAAGGAAGAUCCCUGGAGAACACUGCUCCUAUUUGGCCAUUCUGUGUUCCAUCUCCCUCUCUUCUCCCCCCAACAGAGGGAGAGCUCUUGUGUUCCAUCUUGACAUGAGGACAUGUGUGUGUUGGCAGGAGAGGGUCCUGUGAUGAUGUCUGGCUAUCCAGGAGCUACUAUGGCAAUAAGCCACCUGCCCAUCAGAGCUACUACGACAGCCUUUGUCUUCACGACACACAACCUGGCACACAAUCUUCCCAAUCAACUGUACUCUAGACAAAGCUC
rnacentral:lncRNA from 1 species